rnacentral:rRNA from 1 species
GCCCGAAGCCGAUUAUCUAACCUUUUGGAAGAAGUUGUCGAAGGUGGAAUCAAUAACUGGGGUGAAGUCGUAACAAGGUAGCCGUAUCGGAAGGUGCGGCUGGAUCACCUCCUUU